CCUACGGGUGGCAGCAGUGAGGAAUAUUGGUCAAUGGACGAGAGUCUGACCCAGCCAAGUAGCGUGAAGGAUGACUGCCCUAUGGGUUGUAAACUUCUUUUAUAAAGAAAUAAAACGAGGCACGUGUGCCUUUUUGCAUGUACUUUAUGAAUAAGGAUCGGCUAACUCCGUGACAGCAGCCGAGGUAAUACGGAGGAUCCGAUCGUUAUCCGGAUUUAUUGGGUUUAAAGGGAACGUAGAUGGGUUGUUAAGUCAGUUGUGAAAGUUUGCGGCUCAACCGUAAAAUUGCAAUUGAUACUGGCAGUCUUGAGUACAGUUGAGGUAGGCGGAAUGCGUGGUGUAGCGGUGAAAUGCUUAGAUAUCUCGAAGAACCCCGAUUGCGAAGGCAGCUUACUAAACUGUGACUGACAUUGAUGCGCGAAAGUGUGGGUAUCAAACAGGAUUAGAUACCCUUGUAGUC
rnacentral:rRNA from 1 species